UUUUAUACGACCGCAAAAAAAUUUUGCGGUCGUAUAUUGGUAUGACGUUGGCAUCGUCAUCGUCGUCAUCCGAAGACACAUUAGUUUUCGCACUCUAACUUUAGUUUAAGUGAAUGGAUCUCUAUGAUGUUUUACCAUAAGGUUCAAUACCACAAAAGGAAGGUUGGGAUUGAUUUUGGGGGUUAUGGUACCAACUGUUAAGGAAUUAGGGGCCCAAAAGGGGCCAAAAAUAAGCAUUUUUGUAACUUCAGACAUAACUUGUGUGUUAGUGUAUGGAUCUCUCUGAUCUUGUACCACAAGGUUCCAUAUCACACAGGGAAUGCUGGGAUUGAUUUUAGGGGGUAAUUGCCUCAAAAUAUUAGGAAUUAGGGGCCAAAAAAGGGGCAAAAAACAAGCAUUUUUCUAGUUUCAUGACAAUAACUUGUGUGUAAGUGUAUGGAUCUUUCUGAAAUUGUACUACAAGGUUCCAUAUCACAAAGGGAAAGCUGGAAUUGAGUUUGGGGGUAAUUGCCCAAAACGUUUAGGAAUAAGGGGCCAAAAAGGGGCAAAAAAUAAGCAUUUUUUUAGUUUCCAGACAAUAACUUGUGUUCAAGUGUAUGGAUCUCUUUGAAAUUGUACCACAAGGUUCCAUAUCACACAAGAAAUGCUGGGAUUGAUUUUGGGGGUAGUUGCCUCAAAAUAUUAGGAAUAAGGGGCCAAAAAAGGGGCAAAAAACAAGCAUUUUUCUAGUUUCAUGAUAAUAACUUGUGUAUAAGUGCAUGGAUCUUUCUGAAAUUGUACUACAAGGUUCCAUAUCACAAAGGGAAAGCUGGAAUUGAGUUUGGGGGUAAUUGCCCAAAAUGUUUAGGAAUAAGGGGCCAAAAAGGGGCAAAAAAUAAGCAUUUUUCUAGUUUCCAGCCAAUAACUUGUGUUCAAGUGUAUGGAUCGCUCUGAAAUUGUACUGCAAGGUACCAUACCACAAAGGGAAGGCUGGGAUUGAGUUUUGGGGUGAUGAAUCAUAAGGGGGUUCAAAAAAUUUGGGGGGGGGGGGUUCCUUUUUUUUCUUUUUUAUACGACCGCAAAAAAAAUUUUGUGGUCGUAUAUUGGUAUGACGUUGGCGUCGUCGUCGUCGUCGUCGUCAGGCGUCGUCCGAAGACACAUUGGUUUUCGCACUCUAACUUUAGUUUAAGUGAAUGGAUCUCUAUGAAAUUUUACCACAAGGUUCAAUACCACAAAAGGAAGGUUGGGAUUGAUUUUGGGGGUUAUGGAACCAACAGUAAAGGAAUUAGGGGCCAAAAAUAAGCAUUUUUGUAACUUCCAGACAUAACUUGUGUGUUAGUGUAUGGAUCUGUCUGACAUUGUACCACAAGGUUCCAUAUCACAAAGGGAAUGCUGGGAUUGAUUUUGGGGGUAAUUGCCUCAAAAUUUUAGGAAUUAGGGGCCAAAAAAGGGGGAAAACAAGCAUUUUUCUAGUUUCAGGACAAUAACUUGUGUGUAAGUGUAUGGAUCUUUCUGAAAUUGUACUACAAGGUACCAUACUACAAAGGGAAGGCUGGGAUUGAUUUUGGGGGUAAUUGCCUCAAAAUUUUAGGAAUUAGGGGCCAAAAAGGG